AUACGUAGGUGACAAGCGUUAUCCGGAUUUACUGGGCGUAAAGGGCGUGUAGGCGGUCUUGCAAGUCAGAAGUGAAAUUCCUGAGCUCAACUCGGGCGCUGCUUCUGAAACUGCAGGACUUGAGUGCUGGAGGGGAUAGCGGAAUUCCUAGUGGAGCGGUAAAAUGCGCAGAUAUUAGGAAGAACACCGGUGGCGAAGGCGGCUAUCUGGACAGUAACUGACGCUGAGGCGCGAAAGCGUGGGGAGCAAACAGGAUUAGAUACCCUGGUAGUCCGCGCAGUAAACGAUGCGCACCAGGUGUCGGGCGGCAGCGCCCGGUACCGGAGCUAACGCGAUGAGUGCGCCGCCUGGGGAGUAUGCCCGCAAGGGUGAAACUCAAAUGAAUUGGCGGGG
rnacentral:rRNA from 1 species